AACGAACGCUGGCGGCAUGCCUAACACAUGCAAGUCGAACGAGACCUUCGGGUCUAGUGGCGCACGGGUGCGUAACGCGUGGGAACCUGCCCUUAGGUUCGGAAUAACUCCCCGAAAGGGGUGCUAAUACCGGAUAAUGUCUUCGGACCAAAGAUUUAUCGCCUUUGGAUGGGCCCGCGUUGGAUUAGCUAGUUGGUAGGGUAAAAGCCUACCAAGGCGACGAUCCAUAGCUGGUCUGAGAGGAUGAUCAGCCACACUGGGACUGAGACACGGCCCAGACUCCUCCGGGAGGCAGCAGUGGGGAAUAUUGGACAAUGGGCGAAAGCCUGAUCCAGCACUGCCGCGUGAGUGAUGAAGGCCUUAGGGUUGUAAAGCUCUUUUACCCGGGAUGAUAAUGACAGUACCGGGAGAAUAAGCUCCGGCUAACUCCGU
rnacentral:rRNA from 1 species